rnacentral:rRNA from 1 species
UACAGAGGUCUCAAGCGUUGUUCGGAUUCAUUGGGCAUAAAGGGUGCGUAGGUGGGCAGGUAAGUCAGUGGUGAAAUCUCCGGGCUUAACCCGGAAACUGCCAUUGAUACUAUCUGUCUUGAAUACCGUGGAGGUGAGCGGAAUAUGUCAUGUAGCGGUGAAAUGCUUAGAUAUGACAUAGAACACCAAUUGCGAAGGCAGCUCACUACACGAAUAUUGACACUGAGGCACGAAAGCGUGGGGAUCAAACAGG